AACGAACGCUGGCGGCAGGCUUAACACAUGCAAGUCGAACGCCCCGCAAGGGGAGUGGCAGACGGGUGAGUAACGCGUGGGAACAUACCCUUUUCUACGGAAUAGCUCUGGGAAACUGGAAUUAAUACCGUAUACGCCCUACGGGGGAAAGAUUUAUCGGGGAAGGAUUGGCCCGCGUUGGAUUAGCUAGUUGGUGGGGUAAAGGCCUACCAAGGCGACGAUCCAUAGCUGGUCUGAGAGGAUGAUCAGCCACAUUGGGACUGAGACACGGCCCAAACGCCUACGGGAGGCAGCAGUGGGGAAUAUUGGACAAUGGGCGCAAGCCUGAUCCAGCCAUGCCGCGUGAGUGAUGAAGGCCUUAGGGUUGUAAAGCUCUUUCACCGAUGAAGAUAAUGACGGUAGUCGGAGAAGAAGCCCCGGCUAACCUCGUGCCAGCCGCCGCAGUAA
rnacentral:rRNA from 1 species